rnacentral:rRNA from 1 species
GAUGAACGCUGGCGGCGUGCUUAACACAUGCAAGUCGAACGAGAAGUGGAGACGGAAACCUUCGGGCGGAAGACUUUACUUCGAGUGGCGGACGGGAGAGUAACGCGUGGGUAACCUGCCUCAUACAGGGGGAUAACAGUUGGAAACGACUGUUAAUACCGCAUAAGACCACAGCACCGCAUGGUGCGGGGGUAAAAACUCCGGUGGUAUGAGAUGGACCCGCGUUCGAUUAGCCAGUUGGCGGGGUAACGGCCCACCAAAGCGACGAUCGAUAGCCGAUCUGAGAGGAUGACCGGACACAUUGGGACUGAGACACGGCCCAAACUCCUACGGGAGGCAGCAGUGGGGAAUAUUGCACAAUGGGGGAAACCCUGAUGCAGCGACGCCGCGUGAGUGAAGAAGUAUUUCGGUAUGUAAAGCUCUAUCAGCAGGGAAGAAAAUGACAGUACCUGAGUAAGAAGCCCCGGCUAACUACGUG